UAUAGAACAAUUUGAAGAUAUCAAAUUUACAAAUAUAUUAUAGAAUGAGAGAUUGAGAGGAAAAUGCUGCAGGCAGAGAAUGAGUUUGAAAUCACAACAUCUCUCAAGAAAAGACUUGAAGUUCAUAUGGCAAGAAAUGAAAUACUACAGAAAGAAAACCAUGAACUUAAAGAAGAAGUAGCACGUUUAAAGUCACAAAUAAUUUCACUCAAAGCACACAAUAUAGAGAGAAAAACCAUACUAUGGAAGAAAAUACAAAAAUCCAUAGAUCAUGAAAACAAUAUUUCAGAUUCACAUCAUCAACAUAAACCAGCACUUCAUGCAAUCAUUUGUGAAAAAAAUUCAGAAAAUGAGAAUGUUCAUACAAAUCAAGAUUUCAAAGCAAUAGUAGUAACACCACCACCAACACCAAUUCCUCCUCCUCCAAAAAAUGCUUCAACCCUUUUUCCAUUUUCAAAUAAAAAUGAAAAGGGAAUCAAAAUGCAGCCAAUUACAACAACAGCAGCAGCACCUCCACCACCUCCAACACCAUCAAAUAAAUCUUUUGGUUUGAAAGCAGUGCGCCGUGUUCCCGAAGUAAUCGAAUUGUAUCGUUCGCUUACGAGAAAAGAUGUUAACAUGGAAAACAGAAUUCAUCCUAAUGGAAUUCCUGUUGUAGCAUUCACCAGAAACAUGAUUGAGGAAAUCGAAAACCGGUCGACUUAUCUUUCAGCUAUAAAAUCAGAAGUUCAAAGCCAAAAGGAAUUAAUCACUUUCUUAACAAAAGAAGUAGAAUCAGCCUCAUAUGCAGACAUUUCUGAGGUGGAAGCAUUCAUCAAAUGGCUAGAUGGUGAACUAUCUUCAUUGGUUGAUGAAAGAUCAGUACUAAAACAUUUUCCACAAUGGCCAGAACAAAAAGUAGAUGCAUUAAGAGAAGCUGCUUGUAACUAUAGAGAUCUAAAGAACCUUGAAUCAGAAGUUUCAUCCUAUGAAGAGAAUCCUAAAGAGCCAAUUUAUUUGGCUUUGAAAAGAAUACAAGCAUUACAAGACAGGUUGGAGAGAAGUGUAAGUAGUAAAGAGAGGAUAAGGGAGAGUACAAGUAAGAAAUAUAGGAAUUUUCAUAUUCCUUGGGAGUGGAUGAUGGAUACUGGCCUUAUUGGUCAGCCAAAAAUUCAAAUUAGACAUCGAAUCAUCAAGACGCCGAUCUGCGUAGCCCUUGAUAUUAUAACGAUCAGAGACUACUUUGAUAAUGAAGCUAUGUUCACUAAGGCUAGCAAAGCAAUUCAUGAAAAGAAUAACAAAAGAAUUGGAGUCACAUGAAGCUUUACAGGAAGAUAACAAUCUCUUAUUACAAGGAGUUAAGUUUGCAUUCAGAGUACAUCAGUUUGCAGGUGGCUUUGAUCAAGAGACCACACAAACAUUUCAUGAAUUCAAGAAAGUUGGUGGUUGUGAUGUACCAAGCCAUAGUAAUAAUGUCAUCAAUUUCCCCAAAGUUGUGAAAAUUUGACAGAAACAUUUGUCUUAAUAUAAAUGUAUUGUCAUAAUUAUUUGAUGUUCACACAUCAGAAGCAGCAGAGUUGAUAAACAUGUAUAUGUUCUCCUAUUUAUGUAAUUUCUAAAUGCCUGUUUUUGGUAAGUAGGUAUAUGCUUCCCAAAUUGUGCUAGUAA